AGCCCAGGAACCCGCCGCUCCGCGGCUCCGCCCCGCCCCAGGAUGCCCCGCCUCCUCGCGCUCCCCAUUGGUGGUCGGCUCCGGCGCUCCUGAAGCCACCAAUCACCGGCCGCGUCUUCUUACAAAGGGUGGAGAGUCGCCUUCCAGAAGCCAUGCUCUCUCUCUACAGGAAAGCUAGGCUGAUGGCUCAAUUGAGGUUAAUGAAAACUCCAAUCAGAGAGGCAAAACGCGAGCGGGAUUAUCGUAUUUACAUAAAGGAGCAAUACGAGAACCUGAGCAGCCCCUAACAGCUGGCCCUGGAAAGGUUUCUGUGGCGAAGGGCCAUCAGAUGUGCUCAUCCUAUAUACUAUGUACACUCUAGUUCGGGUUCCAUCACCACCUAAUUCCGUGUCACUUCCAUCCGGGGGUCUCUGUUUCCUCAAUUUAGAGAGGACUGAAUAGUCUGUCGGGACCCUUCCAAUUCUAAAUUUCUAUGAGCUGCGGAAGCUGAGUCACCCCCUGGGAGCCAACGCUGUUUAGCAUUCAGGCCUGAACAGAAAAUCACAGAAUGGGAGUCUGGUUUGACUUUUUUUUUCUGUCCUUCUGUCUACAGAGGAAGAAAUAGCUGUCUCAUUCCCCCUUGCCAGAAGAAAAAAAAAAAAAAAAUCAAUAGGUGUUUAAUCUGCAAGGGAGAUGAAUUUCCCUUCAACCCAAGGAGAUGUGGAAUGGCUCUGGGCUGAGGUUUGAUUGAAGUGUCAGGUGUCAGAGCCCGCAGGGAUGAUAAACAAUCUCCCUCACCCCCUCGCUUUACAGAUAAGAAGUCUGAGGCUCAGAGAUGCUGGGCACCUUGCACAAGGCAGCCCAGCUUUCAGAGCAGAAAUACUAUGCCCUUUCUGUCCCAUCAUGCUGGACAGCUUGGACCAUCUGCUUUCCUCAGGGACUCGGGUUUGCUGUGCCUCCCCCUCUUCUUCAUCCUCUCAUACUGUCCAAUAAUAAUUGGCAACAUACACAUCCAGCCCUCAGAAACUGGAGACAAGGACCAAGCUGAGUUUUCUGAUAUUAGUCAAGGUAGAUCCCUUGAAGAAAGAAGAAGGUGCCUUUAACUUGGCCACAAUCUGAAGCUCUGAAGCAUUCCAGUGAUUCUGCAGUACAUAGGCUUUGACUCUGCAGGACUUGCAGAUGAUUUCACAAAAUUUCCAAACCUUAAAAGGUAGAGUGAUGAAGCAUUGCAUCAGCAGUAUAGUGGCUAAUGGCUAGAUUCUCUUAAUUUCCAAAUAUCCCGUACCCACAACAUAGAAUCAGUUGGAUUGGGUACCUGUAAAAUCUUGCAGCCAUCCAAGGAUAGAUUUCCUCAUUUUACCAAACGCACCAAAGAUCUUGGCAUCUUGGACCACCUUACCCCAGCUUAUUGGACCAUCUUACCCCAGCAUCAGGCAUUUACUGAACUCCCCUACAAUCUCAUCGAUGUUAGUAAAGGCUUUUGUGAGACAAGGGAAGAAUCUCAGAAGCUUUCCUCUGGCCUAUUCUUGUCUUGCUGUCUCUGCCCACCUUCAGCCACCUGCCUCCCCCACCACAUGUACCAAUUUAAAACAGCUUUCAGGCCCCCAUGAUUUUCUCCUAGUUUUCUGGUUAAUUCUUAAAAUCCAACUUUUCAUUUUGUUUCAUAAUUUCUCCAAUGCUGUUCUAAAAUAGACAAACAGCAGUCAAAUUGGUUAACCAUCUGCACAGAAAUUGGAAGUUCAUGGUGAUGUCUAACCAAAGAAAGAAAGAAAAGGAGGAGGAAGAGGAGAGGGAGGAGGAGGGGGAGGAGAAGGAGGAGAAACAAGAUAAAGAUAAAGGACUAUAAAAUACAUCCUAUAGAGCAAAGUUCAAAAUCUUUUCCAUCACGUUCAAAGUGGAGCCUACCCCGCUUUGUAAUUGGUACUGCCCAUUCAUUUAACUAACCUUUGAACACCUAUUCUGUGCUGGCACCGGGGAUACACUGGUGAACAAGACAGAUACAAAAACCCUUGCCCCUAGAGCACACAGGCUCCAAGCUGUAGUGGGAGCUGCUGGCAGAGACUUCCAGUGCAGGAACGGUGUGAGGCAUUCAGUUGGAUAGUGAAGGAACAGAAAGGAGGGUGGAUGGCUGGAGCAAAGUGCUCAGAGAAACAUUUUGGCUUUGGGUGACAUGAUUUUGGAUAUGCUCCAUUAUUUUUUAAAAUCCUAUCUUCACAUUUGGUGAUGCAACAAUGGAAAGGGAAGGAAACAGACACAGGGAAGUUAGGUAACUGGCCCAAGGUCACACCACUGACAAGCAGCAGCACUGGAUUUUGAACUGUGACAUCCAGGAUCGAGGGACGGCGCUAUUCCCCACCAUGCUAGACCAUUACCUGUGCAAUGACGCUCAAGAAUCUUGUUCCUGAAGUCGAAGCAGGUGCCCUGUCUGCACUUAUUACUUCCAUCCUUUGUUGUUGUUGUUGUUGUUGUUGUUUUAACCAUUGUUAAAGACCUCAUUUGAUAUUCAGAAUAUAUGUCCUUCAAUUAUCCUUCCUGUAGUGGCUUACAAAAACAAAAUUCAUGUGUUUUGUUUUGGAAGCAGCAUUUGGCAACUGCCACAACUGAAUCAUGUUGGAAACAUAUGUACUUUCAUCCAACUCUGUGGCAAAACUCCCGCACGGCAUUAUGUAUUCUCAUACUUGUUUCUUCAAACAUUCAGCAAUUGUUCUCCUUGCAUCUUCCAACAGUAUUUUCUGACAAAAUACUACAUUUAAGUUCAUCCCUGCAUUUUUUCCAUGUGUCACUUUGCCCAGUUUUACCAUGGUAUGUGGCUUUUAAGCUGCUGAGCAUGUAUUAUUAGUAGUUUAGCAAAAAUGUUUAAGUACUGAAAUAAAUAUUGCAUGACUUUAAACAUUCGUGGGAGAAUGUUUUCGAUGUUUGCUUUUUAACAUUUUGCCUGUGGUGAUACUCUCCUUAGCUCAUACCUUAGAAGCUAAUAUCUCUGUAUGUAAUAUACAGUUAAGGUAAGGCCAUCAUGAAUGAAAUGAAUAUAUAUCCAUUAUUUACAUAAUCUUCUCAAGAUAUGAAUAUAUUUCUGGCUGACUUUCAGAUCUGAUGCUAUUGGGUUUUUUUUUCUUUUACAUCUAAUCAGAAUUAUGAUGAGCUCAUGCUCAAAGCUGAAGAAGAAUCCACUCUGCCAUUUUCUUGUUCUCUUCUCAUGCUCUACAUUUUCUUUGGAGGAAGA